UGCAUGUGCUGAGCACGCUCCUGCCAUUUCCUUAUCAAAUUUCAUUGCAUCGAUCUGAGGCACGGCUGUGAGCCAGGCUCAGUUCCUUCUUAAUGAGUUUCUGGUGGAGAGAAAUGUCCUAACAGCAUCCCAGCAGGGUCCCCGUGGCUCUGCUCUGGGCUCCCAGCCUUGCUGCCCCACAUCCUGCACGCUCCAGGCAUCUGAACCCAUCACAUCUGAGCACCCUGUGCUUGUCCUUGUGGAUGCAAACCUGCUGCUGGCCAUCCCUCAGCCACGUUGCUACAUGGUGGCUGUCCCCGUGGACCUGAUGACAGCCAGACAUAGAUGUGAUAGCUGGGUUCAGACAGAGGCAAAGGGCAGAGCUCAGCUCCCACUCUGACUCAUGAACGCGAGCAGCUCAUUUAGUUAGUGCCCUAUUGAGACAUCAGCCUCAUCCAGAGCAGUAAAAGCCACAGACAGGCUGUGGGGCCGACUGUGGGGCUGAGCCCUGCUGCAGGCGGGUCAUACUGGAGCCAACAGACAGCUCUGUCUAUUGCUGGUGCUACAGAAGCAGGGAUGGAGCAAAGCAUCCCCAUAGGGACAGCCCACCUGCCAGGGGCUCAGAUAGCCACGGCUGCAAGGAGAUGGAAGCCUGGAGCUACCCCACAGCAUCCGUGAUGGGUAAAAGGUCUGUCACUUUGCAGCGGGGCCGCUGUAAUUAUGCUGUGGGAAGCAGAGCUCACUUCGCCGAACCCUGAGCGGAUUAAGGAUCCUCCGUGCCUUUUCCCACCCCUCUCUGCCAGGUCUGAAGGGGUAGAAACCAUCACUGAACGCCACAUCGUCCCAUGUAAACAAGGCGGACUUGUUCAUUCUCUUUAUUUUAGGUAUCAAACUGAAUGUUCCAGCUCUUGGAGAAUUGGAUUCACUCUUUCCAGGCGUGUCUCCCAGUGCUUUAAAGCUUUAAAGGCAUCGCUCCACUCUUUUGGAUUAGUGACCCAUUCUAACUGCUCCUCAUUGACCGACACUGUGGGUCUGUCAGAGUCCAUUGGACGCAGCUUACAAAGGAGUUUGAGCCGGAGAUGAAGAGUUUACAAAAAGUUUGUAGGAAACCACGGAGUCCUUUGAAAAGAGAAUAAACUGCCACUGCUGUGUCUGG